rnacentral:rRNA from 1 species
UACAGAAGGUGCAAGCGUUAAUCGGAAUUACUGGGCGUAAAGCGUGCGUAGACGGUUACAUAAGUCGGGUGUGAAAGCCCCGGGCUCAACCUGGGAAUUGCAUUCGAGACUGCGUAGCUAGGGUGCGGAAGAGGGAAGCGGAAUUUCCGGUGUAGCGGUGAAACGCGUAGAUAUCGGAAGGAACACCAGUGGCGAAAGCGGCUUCCUGGUCCAGCACCGACGUUCAGGCACGAAAGCGUGGGGAGCAAACAGG